rnacentral:rRNA from 1 species
UACAGAGGUCUCAAGCGUUUGUUCGGAUUCAUUGGGCGUAAAGGGCGCGUAGGCGGCCACCGCAAGUCAGUUGUGAAAUCUCUGGGCUUAACCCAGAAAGGUCAACUGAUACUGCGGGGCUAGAGUGCAGAAGGGGGCAACUGGAAUUCUCGGUGUAGCGGUGAAAUGCGUAGAUAUCGAGAGGAACACCUGCGGCGAAGGCGGGUUGCUGGGCUGACACUGACGCUGAAGCGCGAAAGCUAGGGGGAGCGAACGGG